rnacentral:tRNA from 1 species
ACCUGGCUAGCUCAGUCAGUAGAGCAUGGGACUCUUAAUCUCAGGAUUGUGAUUUUGAGCCCCACAUUGGGUG